AGGUUCCUCUUCCAAAAAUUGUUUCUGGCCCAUCCAUCCCCAGAGCACCAACCAGGACCCCCAACAGGACCAAGGAUCUACCCAGGUUCAGUCUCCUGAUGCUGUGUAUACAGAUUCUGCUGGUGUUUCUGCUGCUGAUGGGUUCAGUGAUGUGACAUACGCCCUUAUUCAACUCAAAAAGCCAGGCCAAAUGAAAAAAGAACAGUCAGCCGAUCCAAAAGAAAACUCAGUCUACUCUGUGGUGAACAUAGUGAAAGUCACUGCAUCUGGACCCAUUGAUGUGACCAAUGCUCAGAUUGUCCAUAAAAAGGUCAAAGCCAAUAAAGCUUCAUCGAUCGUCGUCGCUGGUCUUCUAGCUGCCACCGUCCCAGUUCCUGACUGCACACGAACACAGCCCUGGACAAUCAUUACACACACCUGAUUCCACUUCCAUCAUGUCUAUUUAACUUCCUCGUUCCUCAGCUUCCCUGUCCAGUAUUGUUUAGUGUCAGUGUGUUUCAGUGUUUUGUAACCUUUUGUUUUGCAGCAUUGUAUUGUGUGUUUGGCCCAUAUAAGUGCUCUGUGCCUUUAUUAAAACGCUUGGCACUUUCCUCCUCUGCGCCAGGUUCUUGCGAACCCACACCAUGAUACCCACAAACGUGCGUAUUAUGUUGUAUUUUAUUAU
ensembl:lncRNA